ACGUCUGCUUGACGGAGAUAGGA
rnacentral:miRNA from 1 species